UACGUAGGGGGCAAGCGUUGUCCGGAUUUACUGGGCGUAAAGCGCGUGUAGGCGGCUUUGCAAGUCGGAUGUGAAAGCCCACGGCUCAACCGUGGAAGUGCAUCCGAAACUGCAUGGCUUGAGUCUCGGAGAGGAAGGUGGAAUGCUUGGUGUAGAGGUGAAAUUCGUAGAUAUCAAGCAGAACACCUGCGGCGAAGGCGGCCUUCUGGACGAUGACUGACGCUGAGACGCGAAAGCGUGGGGAGCAAACAGG
rnacentral:rRNA from 1 species